rnacentral:rRNA from 1 species
GGAUGAACGCUGGCGGCGUGCCUAAUACAUGCAAGUCGAGCGAACAGACGAGGAGCUUGCUCCUCUGACGUUAGCGGCGGACGGGUGAGUAACACGUGGAUAACCUACCUAUAAGACUGGGAUAACUUCGGGAAACCGGAGCUAAUACCGGAUAAUAUAUUGAACCGCAUGGUUCAAUAGUGAAAGACGGUUUUGCUGUCACUUAUAGAUGGAUCCGCGCCGCAUUAGCUAGUUGGUAAGGUAACGGCUUACCAAGGCAACGAUGCGUAGCCGACCUGAGAGGGUGAUCGGCCACACUGGAACUGAGACACGGUCCAGACUCCUACGGGAGGCAGCAGUAGGGAAUCUUCCGCAAAGGGCGAAAGCCUGACGGAGCAACGCCGCGUGAAUGAUGAAGGUCUUCGGAUCGUAAAACUCUGUUAUUAGGGAAGAACAAAUGUGUAAGUAACUAUGCACGUCUUGACGGUACCUAAUCAGAAAGCCACGGCUAACUACGUG